GAUGAGUGUUUUUUUUUUCCCCCUCUUUUACGCUUUGUUUCUGCUUUUCUGAGCUAAUUAAAAUUUACCUUCAUGUCCUUCCAACUUCUCAAAUUUGAAGAUGAAUAAAUCUGCUUAAUAUAUCCAGAAGGAUGAACUAGUGAUUCAAACUUGUUAGCUACACAAAUACACAAUAUUUUAUACCAUGUCAACAAUGAAGACCUUUCAAAAUUUUUUUUAAAUGUCAUAUUUCAAAGCUUAUGUUUCUGCGAGCCUUUUAUGGUAAUUUGAUUUGGGUUGAUUAAUUAUUUGUAAUGGUGAUUUUGAUGAGAGUCUUAAGAGAAACUAAAAUUGAACUUUCUAGGUUCAUCGAGAUGAUUUUAUGCUGAAUGUGAAACUUCAG
rnacentral:misc_RNA from 1 species